GAUGAACGCUAGCUACAGGCUUAACACAUGCAAGUCGAGGGGUAACGAGAGGAAAGCUUGCUUUCCUUGUCGACGACCGGCGCACGGGUGAGUAACGCGUAUCCAACCUGCCCCCAACUAGGGAAUAACCUUGCGAAAGUAAGACUAAUACCCUAUAAUUUCCUCAGAUGCCAUCUGACGAGGAAUAAAGAUUUAUCGGUUGUGGAUGGGGAUGCGUCUGAUUAGCUUGUUGGCGGGGUAGAGGCCCACCAAGGCAACGAUCAGUAGGGGUUCUGAGAGGAAGGUCCCCCACAUUGGAACUGAGACACGGUCCAAACUCCUACGGGAGGCAGCAGUGAGGAAUAGUGGUCAAUGGGCGGAAGCCUGAACCAGCCAAGUAGCGUGCAGGAUGACGGCCCUAUGGGUUGUAAACUGCUUUUAUACAGGAAUAAAGUUAGCCACGUGUGGUUAUUUGUAGGUACUGUAUGAAUAAGGACCGGCUAAUUCCGUGCCAGCCGCCGCAGUAA
rnacentral:rRNA from 1 species